GUUUGCUUUGCUUUACUUUGAAGGCUUUUAUGGCCUAAUGGUAGCUUUGAACGCUGUCAUAGUAGUCAGCUGAUUUUCAAUGCGCGCAAAUAUACCCGCCAUUCUUUGUUGUGCCAGCAAGUAUAAUUGUGAAUUUUAGUUAAAAUAUAUGUUAUUAAACAAUUAUUUGUUACUAAGAACAUUAUUUUUUACAGAUACCUUGCUUUUUUAUCGUUCCGGUUUUGGUGAAGCUGCAUUUGGCUGCGCCACUCACCACCCGUGUUUAUAAGACGUAAUAUUCAAUUGGAGAUACCUUGCUUUUUAUCGUUCCGGCCACCAGAUUCGUUGGUUUUCAUAAAGUUUCAUUUGGCAGUACAAAAUGUUGACUCGAAAUGCUGAACAAGUUUUGAGAAUUUUCCUAAUUUUAGCGAAAAUGCGUAAAUUAAAACUGCGAUUAAAACAGAAGCGCCGAUUUUGGGUUCGGAAAUUGUACUUAGAGCGACACAAAUAUGGAUUGUUUGAAAGUUCAUUAAGAAACUUGGCUGCAGAUGAGGAGCAGUUUAACAAGACAUUAAGAAUGCCCUUUUCGUUAUUUAAUGUGCUGCACGAAUUUCUGGAGGCUUCGCUGACCAAAUAUUCAAUCAGAACACCAAUAUCGAGCCGCUGCAGACUAUUUAUAACCCUGAUAUAUUUGGCUCACGGUGGCACUCGGCAAUUCCACACAAUAGUUCACAGGAUCGGCCUGACGACUUUCAGGAAGAUUACGUUGGAGACAUGUAUGACCAUAUGGGAUCUGUUAGCUGA